GAGGCGAGUACUUGUUUUUGAGUAGUUUUGGACUUAACCGCUUUGUCGUGUAAUUUUAGCUCCUCUUGUUUGACAACUCAAUCAAAACAAAUCCGGUCAAAUUUUUUUACUCCAGUUAAUAAAUUAUUGCCGUUUCGUAUUUUUCGUGAGAUUUUUAAUAAACAUAAGUGCAAUGGGUGAAGAAUACAUGAAGGAAGGAUGGAUGAACCGCGGGAUCAACACGGCGAGGCGACGCCGAUGGUUUCGAGGAGCCGCUGGAAAAUUGCCGGUAGUAUUAAGCAGGCGGAACGCCUGAAUGAGUUUUUAAUCAACCAUCAACAAAUCACACAGCAAUUGCUUUAAUGGCAAAUCAUUCAACUGAAUGGCUUAUAUCAGCCGGAGUGCGGCGAAUAAAAUUUCCACCGAAUUAGGUGAGACGCCAGUUUGGCGAACAGAGAUGGUUUCGGAACACACUUAGUGGUCCCUGAUAUACUGUUUAGCGGAAGAAUACCCGAAUUGUUUAGCGUUGAAUUUCACUAUAUCAAGCUGAUCUCAGAUGCCGGGAAACUGAAAAUUUAUAUUGCUAAUUUUUUUAACCACCCGGAUGAUUGGUAGUCCGUGAUCCAUGAGUGUGCAAAAAUGGUUUGUCAUGGACAGCACACAAGUUUACAAUCAGGCGUUGGUUGAGGAACUUUCCCAACAACCUCAGGAUGGUUUAUUUAUCAUAAAACGGUUGGCCCAGGAAAUAGCAAAAUACUAAAAUUCUCCCCCCAAUCACCCAAGUUCCCCACACUGAGUGACGCUAUAAAAGGACAUUCCGUGUUGAGAGAAGAUCAUCCCCUGGUCGACCGUCAAGGCGAAUAGUUCGGCUUCCCUUCGAUCUGAGAUCUGACUUGGACCCCACCAGUUGGAAGGAAUACAGCCCGAAAUUGGCACUGGGGGGAAGGGACAAUUGGAAGACUUGGAAGCCGUUUGGGUGCUGCCGAUAGUGGAGAACAUGUACGAGAAGUUCUAAGGAAUGGAAAACCCCUUACUAACCGAGAAAUCAGGAAUCAGAUUGAACCACGCGAUAACGUGGAUGCUCGCAUCUUCCCUGAUAAAAUGGAUAGAGGUUACGAUACAUUUUCCGGUUUUCAAUUGUGCUGUUCUAUGUUGAGAAGUUUGCCAAUGCCGAACCGCACGUUGUUUGAUGCCGAAAUGCAAAGCGGUAAUGAUGGAAACGAUAAUAAACUGUAGUAUGCGGGGAUCAUUAUCAAAAGCCGCCUGCGCCGGUUCUUGCUUGUCUAAUAGUGACGACAGGGAGUACGAUGAUGAAGCGAGCCAGAUCAAACAGUAUUUGGAAUUGCUGUGUAAAAUUCAAGAGAACAAGUACAUUUACCAUAACUAUAUGGAACCUCUGGUUCAUGCUCAGUAAGGGUGUAGUUUUUCUUUACAUUUAUACUUUUUGAUGAAAUCCUUACAUUCGCAGUAAAAUUUCCGGCCUGGAUAAAAUUAGGCUAAAUUGCGGCAAUCGAACUCAAUCUGGGAUACGUUAUUCCAACGUACGAGUUGCAUACCAACAAGGGUCGUGCCAUUUAAAACACCUUUUGCGAGGAUUAUCUGGUGAAAACUAAAAAAUUUUGAAGCGUUCAAAUAAAUUGGCGUUUGCCAUACAUGCUACUUGUUUACAGCUAUUUGAAGAGCAUCAAGGUGCCCAUUUAACAGCGAAACGAAUCUCGGAUAAAAAAACCAUGUUAGUUUUAGUAAUAGAUUUAAUUUCAGCUCGUAGUCGGCAGGAUGAAAUUUGCCUUUAGCUUAUAAGUUAUUUUAGACCAUAAGGCAUUAGACUUAAUUGGCUCCGUAAAACAUUCAUGUUUAAGAAAGUUUAAGAAAUUCUUCUAAAGAAUAUGGAGGAUUCGUACAAUAAAUACGAACUGCUUGGCGAAAAGCACGAAGAUGUCCUGGAGGAUUUAAACCAAAAAAAAGUACGAACGGCGAUACAAACCAGCCGAAGGUUUGCUUCAGAGAAUGGUACCGUUUAAGGUCAAGCUGUUGGUGCUAAAGCCUCUCUGCCUCCAGGAAUGAAUGGAACUCUAUCGGUACAUUCGCGAGUGUCGUUCCGUUUCGUUAAAGGAGGUCGCGACGGUGAGAUCUCCGGCUGGAACAUUUAACCUACCUGCGUAGACAUGCCUUCUUGCCUUAUGAGUAGGAAAAAGAGAGAGCCCAAUACAGUAAAGUGUUUAUGUUUUAUAUACCUAAAUUAUAUCGCUGACUCGUUAAUAAAUAAUGGUAUAAUUAUUAUUUUUAA